rnacentral:rRNA from 1 species
UGGCGGCGUGCUUAACACAUGCAAGUCGAACGAGAAAGCUACCUUCGGGUAGUGAGUAAAGCGGCGGACGGGUGAGUAACACGUGGGGAAAAUACCUUUAAGACUGGGAUAACUUCUGUAAAGGGAAGCCUAAUACCGGAUAAUCUCCUUUCGGAGCAAAGAUGGCUUAUUAUGCUAUUGCUUAGAGAUGGGCCCGCGUCCCAUUAGCUAGUUUGGUGAGAUAAAAGCUCACGAAGGCAACAAUGGGUAGCCGACCUGAGAGGGUGAUCGGCCACACUGGGACUGAGACACGGCCCAGACUCCUACGGGAGGCUGCAGUGGGGAAUCUUCCACAAUGGACGAAAGUCUGACGGAGCAACGCCGCGUGAGUGAAGAAGGUCUUCGGAUCGUAAAGCUCUGUCUUUAGGGAAGAAUACUUUAAUUGUGAAUAACAGCCAGGGUUGACGGUACCUAUAAAGGAAGCCCUGGCUAACUACGUGCCAGCAGCCGCGGUAAUACGUAG